rnacentral:misc_RNA from 1 species
GAUGAAGAACGUAGCGAAAUGCGAUAAGUAAUGUGAAUUGCAGAAUUCAGUGAAUCAUCGAAUCUUUGAACGCACCUUGCGCCCUUUGGCUAUUCCGAAGGGCAUGCCUGUUUGAGUAUCAUGAACACCUCAACUCUUGUGGUUUCCCACAAUGAGCUUGGACUGUGGAGGUUUUGUUGGCCCUGUGGUCAGCUCCUCUCAAAUGGAUCAGCUUACCGGUGUUUGGUGGCAUUACGGGUGUGAUAACUAUCUACGCUCGUGGUCGUCUCCAAAUAACCUCCAGUGAUGGAGGUUCGCUGGAGCUUAUAAAUGUCUCUCCCCAGUGAAGACAGCCUUUGAACGUUCGAUCUCAAAUCAGGUAGGACUACCCGCUGAACUUAAGCAUAUCAAUAAGCGGAGGA